CCUACGGGUGGCAGCAGUGAGGAAUAUUGGUCAAUGGCCGGAAGGCUGAACCAGCCAAGCCGCGUGAGGGAGGAAGGCGCAGAGGGUCGUAGACCUCUUUUGCCGGGGGACAAAAGGCCGGACUCGUCCGGUUCUGAGGGUACCCGGAGAAAAAGCACCGGCUAACUACGUGCCAGCAGCCGCGGUAAUACGUAGGGGGCGAGCGUUAUCCGGAUUUAUUGGGUUUAAGGGGUGCGUAGGCGGUUUUUCAAGUCUGAAGUGAAAGGCGGUGGCUUAACCGCGGAAGAGCCUUGGAAACUGGGGAACUGGAGUGGGUGAGAGGCAAGCGGAAUGCGUGGUGUAGCGGUGAAAUGCGUAGAUAUUACGAAGAACACCAAUUGCGAAGGCAGCUUGCUGGGCAGUAACUGACGCUGAGGCACGAAAGCGUGGGGAGCAAACAGGAUUAGAUACCCCAGUAGUC
rnacentral:rRNA from 1 species